GAGAACUUCAGGAACCUACUCUAGGGGCCACAAACUGAAGACUUGUUCUUCAACUGCCCAUGGAAAAGUCCCCAGACCAGAGGUAGAGAUACCAAUCCAGUAAUGGAGUCACUAGCCCUACAUAAGGCCACUAGCCAAAGCUGGGAGGUCCCUAGGACUGAGCUGGUGGUGUAGGCUGUCUAUAGUCAAAGCUACAGUCAUGUAGGUGGUGCCUUCAUGGCUCUCACUCAAUGGGGCUUAGCAAAGAAGUUCU
rnacentral:RNase_MRP_RNA from 1 species